rnacentral:lncRNA from 1 species
AAAUGUGGUUAAUAUUGGAAAAAUAUGGCAUACCAAACAAAUACGUAAAUGUUAUAAAACUAUUUUAUGGAAAUUACUCGGCACAAAUACAACAUAAUGGAAAACUAAUACGCAACAUACA